GGCCCCGGUACUAAUCUAGUCACCCUAGCUGCCGAAGGUGUGAGGCGCUUGCUUGGACAUCCGGGAAAUGGACCCAGCCCUUUUCUACACGGAGCCCGUAAAAGUGACAACUCCAUAGAGGCUGAGGUGAUACCAAUUUGCACAAGCACAUCUCUAAUGUUUAACAUAGAAUCUGAUGCCUAUUAAGGACUUGAUACAUAUUUGUUGAAGAAAGAAGAGAGAGAGAGAAGUGUUGAGAAUAACUCCAAGGGUGUGUUGCUGCUGAUAGCUAUGGAGGAAUCAGAAGGAAAGGCAGAAAUGGAACAGUGAAGGAGAAGGUGAAGGAAAACCAAGUAGUGCUGUGCCAGCAAAGCCAAAGACAGAAGCGGCACCAGGAAAAGCAGAUGAAGAGGCUGGCCAAGUGUUUGGGGUUUGGAAAUGAUGUCAGUGGACAUGCAAAUGAGAUCUGGGAAGUGAAAAGCCUCCUCUGGAAUCUUAAAUGGAAUAUUAAAUACACACACUUC